CAGCAGCCGCCGCGGUAAUACGUAGGUGGCAAGCGUUGUCCGGAAUUAUUGGGCGUAAAGGGCUCGCAGGCGGUUUCUUAAGUCUGAUGUGAAAGCCCCCGGCUCAACCGGGGAGGGUCAUUGGAAACUGGGAAACUUGAGUGCAGAAGAGGAGAGUGGAAUUCCACGUGUAGCGGUGAAAUGCGUAGAGAUGUGGAGGAACACCAGUGGCGAAGGCGACUCUCUGGUCUGUAACUGACGCUGAGGAGCGAAAGCGUGGGGAGCGAACAGGAUUAGAUACCCCAGUAGUCCCUGUCUCUUAUAC
rnacentral:rRNA from 1 species